CAGCUGCGUCACCCUGGCCCCGGCGAGCUCCGAGGCGGUGAUCAUCUUGAGGUAGAGCGCGAGGGCCUUCGUGAAGGUGUCCCAGAUCAGCAGGAAGAGGCCGCUGCCGUCGGUGGAGA
rnacentral:SRP_RNA from 13 species